GGUUGAUCCUGCCGGACCUGACUGCUAUCGGAUUGGUACUAAGCCAUGCGAGUCGUUGUAGCAAUACAAGGCGGACUGCUCAGUAACACGUAGUUAACUUAACCUAUGGAUGGGCAUAACCUCGGGAAACUGAGAAUAAUACCCAAUGGACCACAGUGCCUGGAAUGGCCUGUGGUUGAAAUGAUUUAUCGCCGUAGGAUAGGACUGCGGCCUAUCAGCUUGUUGGUGAGGUAAUGGCCCACCAAGGCUAUAACAGGUACGGGCUCUGAGAGGAGGGGCCCGGAGAUGGGUACUGAGACACGGACCCAGGCCCUAUGGGGCGCAGCAGGCGAGAAACCUUUGCAAUGUGCGAAAGCACGACAAGGUUAAUCCGAGUGUCUCCUGCUAAAGGAGUCUUUUGUCAGUUGUAGAAUCACUGGUGAAUAAGGGGUGGGCAAGUUCUGGUGUCAGCCGCCGCGGUAAAACCAGCACCUCGAGUGGUCAGGAGGUUUAUUGGGCCUAAAGCAUCCGUAGCCGGUUGCAUAAGUUUUCGGUUAAAUCUAUGCGCUUAUCGUAUAGGCCGCCG
rnacentral:rRNA from 1 species